GACGAACGCUGGCGGCGUGCUUAACACAUGCAAGUCGAACGGAAAGGCCCUGCUUUUGUGGGGUGCUCGAGUGGCGAACGGGUGAGUAACACGUGAGUAACCUGCCCUUGACUUUGGGAUAACUUCAGGAAACUGGGGCUAAUACCGGAUAGGAUCUCCUGCUGCAUGGUGGGGGUUGGAAAGUUUCGGCGGUUGGGGCUGGACUCGCGGCUUAUCAGCUUGUUGGUGUGGUAGUUGCUUACCAAGGGUUUGACGGAUAGCCGGCCUGAGAGGGUGACCGGCCACAUGAGGACUGAGAGACGGACCAGACUGGAACGGGAGGCAGUAGGCGGGAGUAUGGCAGAAUGGGGGGAAGCCUGAUGCAGCAACGUCGCGAGCGGGAUGACGGCCUUCGGGUGGUGAACAGAUGUCGCCGGUGACGAAGCGGGAGUGACGGUAAUGAGUAAAGAAGCACCGGCUAACUACGUG
rnacentral:rRNA from 1 species